rnacentral:rRNA from 1 species
CCCUUAGAUGUUCUGGGCCGCACGCGUGCUACACUGAGUGGAUCAGCGGGUCAGGUUGCGCGAAAGCGUUUCCUAAUCUUUAAAUCCGCUCGUGAUGGGGAUUGACGGUUGCAAUUUUCUGUCAUGAACGAGGAAUACCUUGUAAGCGCGGGUCAUCAUCCCGCGCUGAAUACGUCCCUGCCCUUUGUACACACCGCCCGUCGCUCCUACCGAUUGAGUGGUCCGGUGAAAUCUUCGGAUUGCUGGAUAGGAGGGCAACCACCUAUCUGCGAGAAGUUGCUUGAACCUUAUCAUUUAGAGGAAGGAGAAGUCGUAACA